rnacentral:rRNA from 1 species
GAUGAACGCUGGCGGCGUGCCUAAUACAUGCAAGUCGAGCGAACAGACGAGGAGCUUGCUCCUCUGACGUUAGCGGCGGACGGGUGAGUAACACGUGUAUAACCUACCUAUAAGACUGGUAUAACUUCGGGACACCGGAGCUAAUACCGGAUAAUAUAUUGAACCGCAGGGGUCAAUAGUGAGAGACGGUGUUGCUGUCUCUAAUAGAUGCAUCCGCGCCGCAUUAGCUAGUUGGUAAGGUAACGGCUUACGAAGGCAACGAUGCGUAGCCGACCUGAGAGACGGAUCGGCGACACUGGAGCUGAGACGCGGACAAGACUACUACGGGAGGCAGCAGUAGGGAAUCGUACGCAGUAGGCGAGAGCAUGACGGAGCGAGGGCACGUGAGUGAUGGAGGCCCUCGGAUCGUAAAGCUCUGUUACGAGGGAAGAACCAAUGUGUAAGUAAACAAAGACGGCGUGACGGUACCUAAUAAAAAAGCACCGGCUAACUACGUG